GAUGAACGCUGGCGGCGUGCCUAAUACAUGCAAGUCGAGCGAACGGACGAGACUCUUGCUUCUCUGAUGUUAGCGGCGGACGGGUGAGUAACACGUGGAUAACCUACCUAUAAGACUGGGAUAACUUCGGGAAACCGGAGCUAAUACCGGAUAAUAUUUUGAACCUCAUGGUUCAAAAGUAAAAGAUGUUCUUUCUGUCACUUAUAGAUGGAUCCGCGCUGCAUUAGCAAGUUGGUAAGGUAACGGCAUACCAAGGCAAGGAGGGAAAGCCGACCUGACAGGGUGAUCGGACACACUGGAACUGAGACAGGAUCCAGACACCUACAGGAGGCAACAGUAGGGAAUCUUCCGCAAAGGGCGAAAGCCGGACGGAGCAAAGCGGCGUGAGUGAUGAAGGUCUGCGGAUCGGAAAACGCUGUAAUUAGGGAAAAACAUAUGUGUAAGUAACGGUGAAAAUAUUGACGGUACCUAAUCAGAAAGCCACGGCUAACUACGUG
rnacentral:rRNA from 1 species